GAUGAACGCUGGCGGCGUGCCUAAUACAUGCAAGUCGAGCGAACAGACGAGGAGCUUGCUCCUCUGACGUUAGCGGCGGGCGGGUGAGUAACACGUGGGUAACCCACCUAUAAUACUGGGAUAACUUCGGGAAACCGGAGCUAAUACCGGAUAAUAUAUUGUACCGUAUGGUUGAAUAGAGAAAGACGGUUUUGCGGUCACUUCUCGAUCGAUCCGCGCCGUGUUAGCUAGUUGGUAAGGUAACGGCUUACCAAGGAAGCGAUGCGUAGCCGACGUGAGCGGCUGAUCGGCCACACUGGAACUGAGACACGGUCCAGACUCCUACGGGAGGCAGCAGUAGGGAAUCUUCCGCAAUGGGCGAAAGCCUGACGGAGCAACGGCGCGUGAGUGAUGAAGGUCCUCGGAUCGGAAAACUCUGUUAUUAGGGAAGAACAAAUGUGUAAGUAACUAUGCACGUCUUGACGGUACCUAAUCAGAAAGCCACGGCUAACUACGUG
rnacentral:rRNA from 1 species